GAUGAAGAACGUAGUGAAAUGCGAUAAGUAAUGUGAAUUGCAGAAUUCAGUGAAUCAUCGAAUCUUUGAACGCACCUUGCGCUCCUUGGUAUUCCGAGGAGCAUGCCUGUUUGAGUGUCAUGAAAUUCUCAACCUUUCUGGCUUUUGCUAGUCAGGCUUGGAUUAUGGGAGCUGCUGGCUUUUGAAGUCGGCUCUUCUAAAAUGUAUUAGCAAGAUCAUUGCUGCUCAUCAUUGGUAUGAUAAUUAUCUAUAUCAUUGAGAGUCAGUUUCCUUUAUUGGAAGAUUUUGCUCCUAACGGUCUUUAGCAAGACAACAUUUGACGAUUUUGACCUCAAAUCAGGUAGGACUACCCGCUGAACUUAAGCAUAUCAAAGCGGAGGA
rnacentral:misc_RNA from 1 species